rnacentral:rRNA from 1 species
GAUGAACGCUGGCGGCGUGCCUAAUACAUGCAAGUCGAGCGAACGGACGAGAAGCUUGCUUCUCUGAUGUUAGCGGCGGACGGGUGAGUAACACGUGGAUAACCUACCUAUAAGACUGGGAUAACUUCGGGAAACCGGAGCUAAUACCGGAUAAUAUUUUGAACCGCAUGGUUCAAAAGUGAAAGACGGUCUUGCUGUCACUUAUAGAUGGAUCCGCGCUGCAUUAGCUAGUUGGUAAGGUAACGGCUUACCAAGGCAACGAUGCAUAGCCGACCUGAGAGGGUGAUCGGCCACACUGGAACUGAGACACGGUCCAGACUCCUACGGGAGGCAGCAGUAGGGAAUCUUCCGCAAUGGGCGAAAGCCUGACGGAGCAACGCCGCGUGAGUGAUGAAGGUCUUCGGAUCGUAAAACUCUGUUAUUAGGGAAGAACAUAUGUGUAAGUAACUGUGCACAUCUUGACGGUACCUAACCAGAAAGCCACGGCUAACUACGUGCCAGCAGCCGCGGUAAUACGUAGGUGGCAAGCGUUAUCCGGAAUUAUUGGGCGUAAAGCGCGCGUAGGCGGUUUUUUAAGUCUGAUGUGAAAGCCCACGGCCCAACCGUGGAGGGUCAUUGGAAACUGGAAAACUUGAGUGCAGAAGAGGAAAGUGGAAUUCCAUGUGUAGCGGUGAAAUGCGCAGAGAUAUGGAGGAACACCAGUGGCGAAGGCGACUUUCUGGUCUGUAACUGACGCUGAUGUGCGAAAGCGUGGGGAUCAAACAGGAUUAGAUACCCUGGUAGUCCACGCCGUAAACGAUGAGUGCUAAGUGUUAGGGGGUUUCCGCCCCUUAGUGCUGCAGCUAACGCAUUAAGCACUCCGCCUGGGGAGUACGACCGCAAGGUUGAAACUCAAAGGAAUUGACGGGGACCCGCACAAGCGGUGGAGCAUGUGGUUUAAUUCGAAGCAACGCGAAGAACCUUACCAAAUCUUGACAUCCUUUGACAACUCUAGAGAUAGAGCCUUCCCCUUCGGGGGACAAAGUGACAGGUGGUGCAUGGUUGUCGUCAGCUCGUGUCGUGAGAUGUUGGGUUAAGUCCCGCAACGAGCGCAACCCUUAAGCUUAGUUGCCAUCAUUAAGUUGGGCACUCUAAGUUGACUGCCGGUGACAAACCGGAGGAAGGUGGGGAUGACGUCAAAUCAUCAUGCCCCUUAUGAUUUGGGCUACACACGUGCUACAAUGGACAAUACAAAGGGCAGCGAAACCGCGAGGUCAAGCAAAUCCCAUAAAGUUGUUCUCAGUUCGGAUUGUAGUCUGCAACUCGACUACAUGAAGCUGGAAUCGCUAGUAAUCGUAGAUCAGCAUGCUACGGUGAAUACGUUCCCGGGUCU